rnacentral:rRNA from 1 species
UGAGGAAUAUUGCACAAUGGGCGCAAGCCUGAUGCAGCAACGCCGCGUGCGGGACGAAGGCCUUCGGGUCGUAAACCGCCUUUCUGGGGAAAGAGCAAGGACGGUACCUCAGGAGUAAGUCUCGGCUAACUACGUGCCAGCAGCCGCGGUAAAACGUAGGAGGCGAGCGUUAUCCGGAUUUACUGGGCGUAAAGCGCACGCAGGCGGCUCCGUGAGUCGGACGUGAAAGCUCUCGGCUUAACCGGGAGAGGCCGUUCGAUACUGCGGGGCUUGAGGUAGGGAGAGGAAUGCGGAAUUCCCGGUGUAGUGGUGGAAUGCGUAGAUAUCGGGAGGAACACCUGUGGCGAAAGCGGCAUUCUGGCCCUCACCUGACGCUGAGGUGCGAAAGCGUGGGUAGCAAACAG